AGAGUUUGAUCCUGGCUCAGGACGAACGCUGGCGGCGUGCCUAAUACAUGCAAGUCGAGCGAACAGAGAAGGAGCUUGCUCCUUCGACGUUAGCGGCGGACGGGUGAGUAACACGUGGGCAACCUACCUUAUAGUUUGGGAUAACUCCGGGAAACCGGGGCUAAUACCGAAUAAUCUGUUUCACCUCAUGGUGAAACAUUGAAAGACGGUUUCGGCUGUCGCUAUAGGAUGGGCCCGCGGCGCAUUAGCUAGUUGGUGAGGUAACGGCUCACCAAGGCGACGAUGCGUAGCCGACCUGAGAGGGUGAUCGGCCACACUGGGACUGAGACACGGCCCAGACUCCUACGGGAGGCAGCAGUAGGGAAUCUUCCACAAUGGGCGAAAGCCUGAUGGAGCAACGCCGCGUGAGUGAAGAAGGAUUUCGGUUCGUAAAACUCUGUUGUAAGGGAAGAACAAGUACAGUAGUAACUGGCUGUACCUUGACGGUACCUUAUUAGAAAGCCACGGCUAACUACGUGCCAGCAGCCGCGGUAAUACGUAGGUGGCAAGCGUUGUCCGGAAUUAUUGGGCGUAAAGCGCGCGCAGGUGGUUUCUUAAGUCUGAUGUGAAAGCCCACGGCUCAACCGUGGA
rnacentral:rRNA from 1 species